GAUGAAGAACGUAGCAAAAUGCGAUAAGUAAUGUGAAUUGCAGAAUUCAGUGAAUCAUCGAAUCUUUGAACGCACAUUGCGCCCGCCAGUAUUCUGGCGGGCAUGCCUGUUCGAGCGUCAUUUCAACCCUCAAGCUCAGCUUGGUGUUGGGACUCACGGUAACCCGCGUUCCCCAAAUCGAUUGGCGGUCACGUCGAGCUUCCAUAGCGUAGUAAUCAUACACCUCGUUACUGGUAAUCGUCGCGGCCACGCCGUAAAACCCCAACUUCUGAAUGUUGACCUCGGAUCAGGUAGGAAUACCCGCUGAACUUAAGCAUAUCAAUAAGCGGAGGA
rnacentral:misc_RNA from 1 species